UACGGGGGGGGCAAGCGUUGUUCGGAAUUACUGGGCGUAAAGGGCGCGUAGGCGGCCUGCUAAGUCACACGUGAAAUCCCUCGGCUCAACCGGGGAACUGCGUGUGAUACUGGCGGGCUUGAAUUCGGGAGAGGGAUGUGGAAUUCCAGGUGUAGCGGUGAAAUGCGUAGAUAUCUGGAGGAACACCGGUGGCGAAGGCGGCGAUCCUGGACCGAGAUUGACGCUGAGGCACGAAAGCGUGGGGAGCAAACAGGGA
rnacentral:rRNA from 1 species